AAUAUUGCACAAUGGGCGCAAGCCUGAUGCAGCCAUGCCGCGUGUAUGAAGAAGGCCUUCGGGUUGUAAAGUACUUUCAGCAGUGAGGAAGGUGGUAGUGUUAAUAGCACUAUCAUUUGACGUUAGCUGCAGAAGAAGCACCGGCUAACUCCGUGCCAGCAGCCGCGGUAAUACGGAGGGUGCGAGCGUUAAUCGGAAUUACUGGGCGUAAAGCGCAUGCAGGUGGUUUGUUAAGUCAGAUGUGAAAGCCCGGGGCUCAACCUCUGAAUUGCAUUUGAAACUGGCAGACUAGAGUACUGUAGAGGGGGUAGAAUUUCAGGUGUAGCGGUGAAAAUGCGUAGAGAUCUGAAGGAAUACCGGUGGCGAAGGCGGCCCCCUGGACAGAUACUGACACUCAGAUGCGAAAGCGUGGGGAGCAAACAGGAUUAGAUACCCUGGUA
rnacentral:rRNA from 1 species